rnacentral:lncRNA from 1 species
UAAAACAGAUUCGAUAUUUCAUGGAUAAAUUUGAAAACAAAAAGAAAUGGUUUUGAAAUAAUAGGAUAAAAUGGAAGGAUUAAAAACACAAAUAACCCAUUUCAAACUCUAGUUAAAACCUUAUUCCCUUUUGCUGUAACAGCAGCCUCAAGAACUGCUCCAUCCUCUCCUCUGCUUUGCAAGCCAAACUCCCCCCUUCCAACUUCGAUUUAGAUGAAGAGAAGCAAAGAUGUCGACGGCGCACUUCGUUUGGUAAGGAUUUCUCCUCUUUCUUUUAUUUUUGUUUUAAAAAAUUAAAGGAAAAACCCCAAAAUAAAAUAAUAAAAAAACAAUAAAAAGAACAGGAAAAAAAGAACAAAACCGAUCACCUUUCCAAAAUUCUUCCUCUGAUUCUUUACUUGUAUUUCAUUAAUCUUUCAAUACAAUAUUUUGCUCCAAUUUCUUAUUUUUAUCCACUCUCUCAAUAAUUUUUUGAUACAAAAAUGUCAACUCCCUCUUCUCUAUUUUUCUUUUUUCUCUUCAUUUUCGUAACCCCCGCCAUUUCUCCUUUUUUCCUCCUUUUGUUGCCGUUUUUGAUCUGUUUCAGGGACACUGAAGGAGACGUGCAGGACGUGCGUAGAAAGUGACAACCGCUGGCACACACGCGCUGUGAGAACCCGAUGAUUACGGCACCGUUGAAACUGCUACUGUUUUUUUUUUUGCUGUUUGUUUGUUUUUUUUUUUGGUGAUUUAGGCUAGUGGGUUUGAUGUAAUUGGGCUUUAGGCUAAUGUAAUUGGGUUACAAUUUGGGCUUGGGUUAAUUGGGUUUAGUAAUGGACUUCUAAUUUUAAAUUUGGAUCUCUGAAGCUUUAGGCUAAUUGGGCCGUGUAAAGGAUUUUGGGCCCCGGGCAAUAAUUGGGUAUUACACCCUUAUUUUAAUCUGCUUUGGGUGCAAAGGCCAAAACUUAUAAGAAAAUAAUUUUAAAAAAUGGCCAAAAUCUAUUGUCUGUAUUAAAGUCUAUAAGUUAAUAACUACAUCAUCUAAUUCAACCAUGUAGAAACUACAAAAGAACCAUGUAGGAACUGACAAACAAUCACAUUACAUACACACCAAUAUUUGGAUAUAAAGCUUCAUAAAUUAGAUCCUUAAAAAAGAAAAACCCUUCCCUGCAUGAAAUU